GGGGAUAUAAUGGUUUCGACAUACUUUGGGGUGUUGUUGCUGCAGUAGUGUGGUAGACUAUAAUUACUUCUAGACUUUCUUAAAUGGAAACGCUAAAAAAGAAAACAAAGUUUCAAACUUUGCAAUGUUCUCAAUGAACAACUUAAACCCAGUUUUUGCUUAAUUAAAUGCAAUCUGGUGACUUUAAUGCAGCUCCUUUCUAUAUUAAAGUUGGUCUUAAGAGGAUAGCAUUAGCUUUGGUAAACUAAUGUGAAAUUUAACCAAACUGUUUAAUAUUUUUCGAAUACUUUAUCAUUAAAACAGUUGUCAAAAGUAUUCUAAACUGUAGAUGCAGCAACAUGCUCAAUUUGUGGACAGGGGUUCGAUUCCCCUUAUCUCCACCA
rnacentral:tmRNA from 1 species